AUGCAGCUGACGAGCCCCAAAUAUGGUGAAACGCGCGUCCUAGAU
rfam:Schistosoma mansoni strain Puerto Rico chromosome W, complete genome